UAAAAAGGCUAGGGGAGCCAUCCGCUGAGACCUGAAAAGGGACCCUUUGAACCUGAGAGUUAGCACUCGCGUAGGAAAGCCAAAUACGUUGAUA
rnacentral:ncRNA from 1 species